rnacentral:rRNA from 1 species
AGCAUAUCAAUAAGCGGAGGAAAAGAAACCAACAGGGAUUACCUCAGUAACGGCGAGUGAAGCGGUAACAGCUCAAAUUUGAAAUCUGGCAGCAAUGUCCGAGUUGUAAUUUGUAGAGGAUGUUUCGAGCAUGGUCUGGCCUAAGUUCCUUGGAACAGGACGUCAUAGAGGGUGAGAAUCCCGUAUGCGGUCAGGUGCCUACGCUCAUGUGAAACUCCUUCGACGAGUCGAGUUGUUUGGGAAUGCAGCUCAAAAUGGGUGGUAAAUUUCAUCUAAAGCUAAAUAUUGGCCAGAGACCGAUAGCGCACAAGUAGAGUGAUCGAAAGAUGAAAAGCACUUUGGAAAGAGAGUUAAACAGUACGUGAAAUUGUUGAAAGGGAAGCGCUUGCAACCAGACUUGCACGCAGUUAAUCAUCCGCUGUUCUCAGUGGUGCACUUGAUUGCGUUCAGGCCAGCAUCGGUUUUGGUGGUGGGAUAAAGGCCUUAGGAAUGUAGCUGCUUUCGGGCAGUGUUAUAGCCUAGGGUGCAAUGCCGCCUACUGGGACCGAGGACCGCGCUUCGGCUAGGAUGCUGGCGUAAUGGUUGUAAGCGACCCGUCUUGAAACACGGACCAAGGAGUCUAACAUCUAUGCGAGUGUUUGGGUGUCAAACCCAUACGCGUAAUGAAAGUGAACGGAGGUCAGAACCCUUAAGGGUGCAUGAUCGACCGGUCCUGAAGUCUUCGGAUGGAUCUGAGUAAGAGCAUAGCUGUUGGGACCCGAAAGAUGGUGAACUAUGCCUGAAUAGGGUGAAGCCAGAGGAAACUCUGGUGGAGGCUCGCAGCGGUUCUGACGUGCAAAUCGAUCGUCAAAUUUGGGUAUAGGGGCGAAAGACUAAUCKAACCAUCUAGUAGCUGGUUCCUGCG